rnacentral:rRNA from 1 species
UGGGGAAUUUUGGACAAUGGGCGCAAGCCUGAUCCAGCCAUGCCGCGUGAGUGAAGAAGGCCUUCGGGUUGUAAAGCUCUUUCGGCGGGGACGAAAAGGUCCGUGACAACACCACGGAUCCAUGACGGUACCCGCAGAAGAAGCACCGGCUAACUACGUGCCAGCAGCCGCGGUAAUACGUAGGGUGCAGGCGUUAAUCGGAAUUACUGGGCGUAAAGCGUGCGCAGGCGGUUUGCUAAGAGAGAUGUGAAAUCCCCGGGCUUAACCUGGGAACUGCGUUUCUAACUGGCAGGCUUGAGUGUGGCAGAGGGGGGUGGAAUUCCACGUGUAGCAGUGAAAUGCGUAGAGAUGUGGAGGAACACCGAUGGCGAAGGCAGCCCCCUGGGCUAACACUGACGCUCAUGCACGAAAGCGUGGGGAGCAAACAG